rnacentral:rRNA from 1 species
UUAGAGUUUGAUCCUGGCUCAGGAUGAACGCUAGCUACAGGCUUAACACAUGCAAGUCGAGGGGCAGCAUCAUCAAAGCUUGCUUUGAUGGAUGGCGACCGGCGCACGGGUGAGUAACACGUAUCCAACCUGCCGACAACACUGGGAUAGCCUUUCGAAAGAAAGAUUAAUACCGGAUGGCAUAGUUUUCCCGCAUGGGAUAAUUAUUAAAGAAUUUCGGUUGUCGAUGGGGAUGCGUUCCAUUAGGCAGUUGGCGGGGUAACGGCCCACCAAACCAACGAUGGAUAGGGGUUCUGAGAGGAAGGUCCCCCACAUUGGAACUGAGACACGGUCCAAACUCCUACGGGAGGCAGCAGUGAGGAAUAUUGGUCAAUGGACGAGAGUCUGAACCAGCCAAGUAGCGUGAAGGAUGACUGCCCUAUGGGUUGUAAACUUCUUUUAUACGGGAAUAAAGUUAGCCACGUGUGGCUUUUUGUAUGUACCGUAUGAAUAAGGAUCGGCUAACUCCGUGCCAGCAGCCGCGGUAAUACGGAGGAUCCGAGCGUUAUCCGGAUUUAUUGGGUUUAAAGGGUGCGUAGGCGGCUUUAUAAGUUAGUGGUAAAAUUUCGGAGCUUCACUCCGGUCCGCCAUUAAAACUGUAGAGCUAGAGAAUGGACGAGGUAGGCGGAAUAAGUUAAGUAGCGGUGAAAUGCAUAGAUAUAACUUAGAACUCCGAUAGCGAAGGCAGCUUACCAGACCAUAACUGACGCUGAUGCACGAGAGCGUGGGUAGCGAACAGGAUUAGAUACCCUGGUAGUCCACGCCGUAAACGAUGCUCACGGGCCCUUACCGAUAAAACAGUUAGGGGUUAAUUUGAAAGAAUAAAUUGAGCCACCUGGGGAGUACGUCGGCAAACGAUGAAACUCAAAGGAAUUGACGGGGGCCCGCACAAGCGAAGGAACAUGUGGUUUAAUUCGAUGAUACGCGAGGAACCUUACCUGGGUUUAAAUGUAUGUUGCAUAAUCUGGAAACAGUUUUCCUCUUAGAAGCUAUAUACAAGGUGCUGCAUGGUUGUCGUCAGCUCGUGCCGUGAGGUGUCGGCUUAAGUGCCAUAACGAGCGCAACCCUUAUCGAUAGUUACCAUCAGGUCAUGCUGGGGACUCUGUCGAGACUGCCGUCGUAAGAUGCGAGGAAGGUGGGGAUGACGUCAAAUCAGCACGGCCCUUACGUCCGGGGCCACACACGUGUUACAAUGGGGGGUACAGAAGGCCGCUACACAGCGAUGUGAUGCCAAUCCCCAAAACCCCUCUCAGUUCGGAUUGGAGUCUGCAACCCGACUCCAUGAAGCUGGAUUCGCUAGUAAUCGCGCAUCAGCCACGGCGCGGUGAAUACGUUCCCGGGCCUUGCACUCACCGCCCGUCA